rnacentral:rRNA from 1 species
UACAGAGGCCUCGAGCGUUAGGCGGAAUCACUGGGCUUAAAGCGUGUGUAGGCGGACGGGUAAGUACCUUGUGAAAUCCCACGGCUCAACCGUGGAACCGCGUGGUAUACUGCUUGUCUUGAGCCACUUAGGGGUUACCGGAACAAAUGGUAGAGCGGUGAAAUGCGUAGAUAUCAUUUGGAACGCCAAUGGUGAAAACAGGUAACUGGGAGUGUGCUGACGCUGAGACACGAAAGCCAGGGGAGCGAACGGG